rnacentral:rRNA from 1 species
CCUACGGGUGGCAGCAGUGGGGAAUAUUGGACAAUGGGCGAAAGCCUGAUCCAGCAAUGCCGCGUGUGUGAAGAAGGCCUUCGGGUUGUAAAGCACUUUCAGUGGGGAAGAAAGCCUUGGGGCUAAUACCCUCGAGGAAGGACAUCACCCACAGAAGAAGCACCGGCUAACUCCGUGCCAGCAGCCGCGGUAAUACGGAGGGUGCGAGCGUUAAUCGGAAUUACUGGGCGUAAAGCGCGCGUAGGCGGUCUGAUAAGCCGGUUGUGAAAGCCCCGGGCUCAACCUGGGAACGGCAUCCGGAACUGUCAGGCUAGAGUGCAGGAGAGGAAGGUAGAAUUCCCGGUGUAGCGGUGAAAUGCGUAGAGAUCGGGAGGAAUACCAGUGGCGAAGGCGGCCUUCUGGACUGACACUGACGCUGAGGUGCGAAAGCGUGGGUAGCAAACAGGAUUAGAUACCCCUGUAGU